UGCCCCCAACUCCAAAUCCCACUGGACUCUCUCUUUAUCUCGGUCUCGGUGGCGGCGCUUACCCCAACCGCGCAUCGCGCACGCCAUGGCCCGACGCGGCGGCGGCGCACGCGGCCGGUACGGGAGCUGAUCCUCGACGACGCCGCCGACCGGCCUUCCUCUCCUACGACGCCGACGCCUGAGCAGCCUCCCUCUCCGAGUACCGCCCGACGCCGCCACGGGCGCCUCCUCCUCUCCGAUCGCGCGCGUCGCCAGCCACCCCCUUCCUCUCCUCUGACCGUCCGCCGCCGCUGCCAUGGACGCCGCUGGACAGCACAACGCCAAGUAUCACCAGCGCCGCCUCCGUCGCUGCUUACCCCCCGAUCUGCUAUUCGUUCCUCCGACCACCGCGCGACGGCCUCCUCUCCGACGACCACCGUGCGACGGCGAUCUUCCUCGUCCACUGCAGAUCUGAAGCCAAGUCCGUCUCCCUCAGAUCUGAACUUCUGAAGCCAGCCCCUUCUCCCUCGUCCGCCAUCUGCCCAUCUCCAGCGAUCUACGACGGCUCCUGUUGCUGUUUUUUUAGGCGUCGUUGCUGCUGUUAGAUACUUGAUCUACAAGGUCUUAGCAUGUUGUUGUUUAGUGUGUGCGUGCUCAUGCGUUGAUUGCGGCCUACAGGUUGAAUGAAAUUGAUUAUUGCCUUCUAUUUUGUCUAAAAUCUGUCAACUGCCGGGCCUCGGGCCGGGCUUGCGGGCUUUUGCCGGGCCGAACUCGGGCUUGUGUUUUGGGAAAAAUUCGGGCUUCGGGCCAGGCUCGGGCUUCAGAGUCGGUGGUCGGGCCUGGCCUGAGGAAUGUCCAGAAACCUGAUGCCAAGAAGAAGUUGUUGGCUGCAUCUGUUAUUUUGAGAAAGGUUGUGAUGGAUAUCCUGAACAAGUCGUUUGGUUGGAACAUGCACAUGCGCCUGGAGGCUGGUUGAUUGACAUUGAAAUGAUCUGUCUUUAUUUGGUCUCUAUUCUACUGUGAUAGGUAGAGGAUGGCUGCUGUUUGGUGAUUGUCCAGAAGUUGCUGGCAAUCUGUUUUACUUUCUUGCUGAACCUCUAUCAAACUGUAAUGAAAUCGGGAGCUUGCUCCUAGUUCUAAAAAAUCACAGGAUGUUAUAUGUGCGAUAUACUAGUGUCACGGUUAUCACUCAAAGAA